CUCUUUUUUAAAUACUUAUUAGUAUUGAUUUUUAUAUCAUUUUGCUGGGUUUUUAGAAUUUUAGAAACUUCCCUGCCAUUUCUUAGGUUCUGGGUCUGGGUCUGGGUCUCCUGUUUUGCUGUGGGCAGCCAAGUUUCUUUUAUGUGCCUCUACUGUUGCUGCUGCUGCUGAUGUGGCUGACUAGCUGUCUGGCUGUCGUUGG
rnacentral:lncRNA from 1 species